GAGUUUGAUCAUGGCUCAGGAUGAACGCUAGCGGCAGGCUUAACACAUGCAAGUCGAACGGUAACAGAAAAAGCUUGCUUUUUGCUGACGAGUGGCGAACGGGUGCGUAACGCGUAUGCAACCUACCUUCUUCUAAGGAAUAGCCCAGAGAAAUUUGGAUUAAUACCUUAUGAUAAUAUUUAUUCGCAUGUUUAAAUAUUUAAAACUCCGGUGGAAGAAGAUGGGCAUGCGUAACAUUAGUUUGUUGGUGAGGUAAUGGCUCACCAAGACUACGAUGUUUAGGGGGUCUGAGAGGAUGAUCCCCCACACUGGUACUGAGACACGGACCAGACUCCUACGGGAGGCAGCAGUGAGGAAUAUUGGUCAAUGGACGAAAGUCUGAACCAGCCAUGCCGCGUGAAGGAUGACGGCCCUACGGGUUGUAAACUUCUUUUGUAUAGGAAGAAACCCCUCUACGUGUAGAGGGUUGACGGUACUAUUCGAAUAAGCACCGGCUAACUCCGUGCCAGCAGCCGCGGUAAUACGGAGGGUGCGAGCGUUAUCCGGAAUUAUUGGGUUUAAAGGGUGCGUAGGCGGAAAUUUAAGUCAGUGGUGAAAGCCUGCAGCUUAACUGUAGAAUUGCCAUUGAUACUGGAUUUCUUGAAUCUAAUAGAAGUAGGCGGAAUAUGACAUGUAGCGGUGAAAUGCUUAGAUAUGUCAUAGAACACCGAUAGCGAAGGCAGCUUACUAUGUUAGUAUUGACGCUAAUGCACGAAAGCGUGGGGAGCGAACAGGAUUAGAUACCCUGGUAGUCCACGCCGUAAACGAUGAUUACUCGCUAUUGGCGAUACACUGUCAGUGGCUAAGCGAAAGUGAUAAGUAAUC
rnacentral:rRNA from 1 species